rnacentral:pre_miRNA from 1 species
CAAUUACUCCCUCCGUUCCGAAUUACUUGUCACAGAUAUGGAUGUAUCUAGAUAUAUUUUAGUUCUAGAUACAUCCAUUUCUACGACGAGUAAUUUGGAACGGAGGGAGUACUUU